AGGAGGCCCAUGGAGGUAGGAAGUCAAGCCAGAGGUAUCAUUGUCUGCGGAGAUGGGGGGUAGAGGAGCCACACGGCCCUGGGGAUGAAAGCAACCUUACUGAAUGGAAGGCUACACUCCUCUCUCCCUCUCAAAUUUGCAUCAAUAAUCUGGAGAUCUCUGUUGUGUUUACCAUGGUGGCGUCUGGCUGAUCAGACAUUUUUGACCAAGUUGUGGGCUCCUGGGAUCCUCUAGCCCCUCCCCUCUUACUUUUUGUCCCAGGAACCCGAGACCUGCAGGCCGCAUUCGACACCGGCACGGCUCACCCCAUCCAAGCCGCAGAACUGUGCCCGCCGUGGCCACCUGAUUCCCAGCUGUGUGUCCUCCAGGGCACCAGCGAUGUGCUCCUCGCCCCGUGUGCCCCGCCC
rnacentral:lncRNA from 1 species